rnacentral:rRNA from 1 species
AUUGAACGCUGGCGGCAUGCCUAACACAUGCAAGUCGAACGAGCGGCGGACGGGUGAGUAAUGUAUGGCGACUGCCCGCUAGCGGGGGAUCAAUAGUGGAAACUGUCUCCAAUACCGCAUUCCAUCGGAUAGCCCAUAUGGUAUUAGCUAGUCGGUGAGGUAAUGGCUCACCAAGGCGACGACCCCUAGCUGGUCUGAGAGGAUGAUCAGCAACACUGGGACUGAGACAUGGCCCAGACUCCUACGGAGGCAGCAGUGGAGAAUAUUGCGCAAGGGGCGCAAGCCUGAUGCACCCAUGCGGCGUGUAUGAAGAAGGCCCUAGGGUUGUAGAGUACUUUCAGUCUGGAGGCGUUACCGAAAGAAGAAGCACCGGCUAACUCCGUGCCAGCAGCCGCGGUAAUAC